rnacentral:lncRNA from 1 species
ACAUGGCCUGUACUUUGGACUGUGAUGCAUACCUAUGCUCGCUAUGUCACAUUCCCUGUGGACUUCAUGACUGGGGCUAUGGGAUACCACCUGGAAUAGUUCAUCAGGGAAAAGGAUCCAAGGCCUGUGGAGGAGGAGAAGAGCAUCUCAGAGCAACGGGAGGAUCACAAGCUCGGUGAGCUGCUUAGCAAGGAGCACACCCAGGUGAUGAGCCUUAAGGGCCAGCUGGAAUUUUCCCUGAAGCUGUCCUUAGCAGAAACUGCCCAGAAAAGAA